rnacentral:rRNA from 1 species
UCAGCUUGCUGGGGGGAUUAGUGGCGAACGGGUGAGUAACACGUGAGUAACCUGCCCUUGACUCUGGGAUAAGCCUGGGAAACUGGGUCUAAUACCGGAUAUGACUCCUCAUCGCAUGGUGGGGGGUGGAAAGCUUUUGUGGUUUUGGAUGGACUCGCGGCCUAUCAGCUUGUUGGUGGGGUAAUGGCCUACCAAGGCGAUGACGGGUAGCCGGCCUGAGAGGGUGACCGGCCACACUGGGACUGAGACACGGCCCAGACUCCUACGGGAGGCAGCAGUGGGGAAUAUUGCACAAUGGGCGCAAGCCUGAUGCAGCGACGCCGCGUGAGGGAUGACGGCCUUCGGGUUGUAAACCUCUUUCAGUAGGGAAGAAGCGAAAGUGACGGUACCUGCAGAAGAAGCGCCGGCUAACUACGUGCCAGCAGCCGCGGUAAUACGUAGGGCGCAAGCGUUAUCCGGAAUUAUUGGGCGUAAAGAGCUCGUAGGCGGUUUGUCGCGUCUGCUGUGAAAGACCGGGGCUCAACUCCGGUUCUGCAGUGGGUACGGGCAGACUAGAGUGAUGUAGGGGAGACUGGAAUUCCUGGUGUAGCGGUGAAAUGCGCAGAUAUCAGGAGGAACACCGAUGGCGAAGGCAGGUCUCUGGGCAUUAACUGACGCUGAGGAGCGAAAGCAUGGGGAGCGAACAGGAUUAGAUACCCUGGUAGUCCAUGCCGUAAACGUUGGGCACUAGGUGUGGGGGACAUUCCACGUUUUCCGCGCCGUAGCUAACGCAUUAAGUG